rnacentral:rRNA from 1 species
AGUCGGACGCGGUCCAUCGCGAUAGCUUGCUCGAAGAUGGUGAGAGUGGCGCACGUUUUUGUAACGCGUGAGCAACCUACCUCUAUCAGGGGGAUAGCCUCUCGAAAGAGAGAUUAACACCGCAUAACGUCAACAGUUCGCAUGUUCAGUUGAUUAAAUAUUUAUAGGAUAGAGAUGGGCUCUCGUGACAUUAUCUAGUUGGUAGGGUAACGGCUUACCAAGGCAACUAUGUCUACGGGCUCUGAAAGGACAAUCCCCCACACUGGUACUGACACACUGACCAGACUCCUACGGGAGGCAGCAUUAAGGAAUAUUGGUCAAUGGGCGGAAGCCUGAACCAUCCGUGCCGCGUGCAGGAUGACUGCCCUAUGGGUUGUAAACUGCUUUUGUCCAGGAAUAAACCUCUUUACUAGUAUAUAGCUGAAUGUACUGGAAGAAUAAGGAUCGGCUAACUCCGUGCCAGCAGCCGCGGUAAUACGGAGGAUCCGAGCGUUAUCCGGAUUUAUUGGGUUUAAAGGGUGCGUAGGCGGCCUAUUUACUCUGGGGUGAAAUACGGUGGCUCAACCAUCGCAGUGCCUUUGAUACUGAUGUGCUUGAAUCCAUUUGAAGUGGACGGAAUAAGACAAGUAGCGGUGAAAUGCAUAGAUAUGUCUUAGAACUCCGAUUGCGAACGCAGCUCACUAAGCUGGUAUUGACGCUGAUGCACGAAAGCGUGGGGAUCGAACAGGAUUAGAUACCCUGGUAAUCCACGCCCUAAACGAUGAUAACUCGAUGUUGGCGAUAGACUGCCAGCGUUCCAAGCGAAAGCGUUAAGUUAUCCACCUGGGGG